rnacentral:misc_RNA from 1 species
UAGUGGGUUGUAAGUCUAGAUUAUAUGCAGAUCAAAAUUUUAGAAUUUGAUUAGGUGUUUAUUCUAGAUUUUGUUUGGUCCAUCAAUAGGGGCAACUCUUCUCUUCUACAUGAGCCUUCAACCCACUCCAUUGAAUUCAAACUUUAAGACCAAUUAAUUGAAGUUGAGUUAUACUGCUUAGUUAUCCCCUUGGUACCUGUUCACUUGAGAAUACUUGAUGCAAGUUGAUUUCUGAACCUCCUUUCCCUUCCCCUCCCACCCACGCCGCCC